rnacentral:rRNA from 1 species
AUGCCUAUCCAAGUUCAUGAUGAUUCUGAUUGUUGGUUUGCUAGAGUACCGCUCAUGCAUUUUUGGAUUGUGGAGUUCCACUAUCCAGAUAGGUGCUUGGGCGGCCUAGAUAAACCUAUUCCAUAUCCUCGAGAUAGCAUCGAAUGGACUGGCUACAUGCCUAGUGGUCAGCCACUGGCUCGAAUUGUAAGUGUGUCAACACUUUCGUUGUAUUAUUUGCAUUAUAUAGUAAUAAAUGUGUAA